rnacentral:rRNA from 1 species
GACGAACGCUGGCGGCGUGCUUAACACAUGCCAGUCGAACGGAAAGGCCUUUUCGGAGGUACUCGAGUGGCGAACGGGUGAGUAACACGUGGGUGAUCUGCCCUGCACUCUGGGAUAAGCCUGGGAAACUGGGUCUAAUACCGGAUAGGACCGCACUUUAGUGUGUGUGGUGGAAAGUUUUUUCGGUGUAGGAUGAGCCCGCGGCCUAUCAGCUUGUUGGUGGGGUAAUGGCCUACCAAGGCGGCGACGGGUAGCCGGACUGAGAGGUUGGUCGGCCACAUUGGGACUGAGAUACGGCCCAGACUCCUACGGGAGGCAGCAGUGGGGAAGAUUGCACAAUGGGCGCAAGCCUGAUGCAGCGACGCCGCGUGGGGGAUGACGGCCUUCGGGUUGGAAACUCCUUUCGCCAGGGACGAAGCGUUUUGUGACGGUACCUGGAGAAGAAGCACCGGCUAACUACGUG